rnacentral:ncRNA from 2 species
UCUAUUGUGCCGCGCGACGGUGCCCCGAAAGGGCUUCAAAGGGAACGCAGUGCGCCAUCCGGCCAUGCUGCGGCUGCCCCCGCAACUGUAGGCGGAGACUGCCUUGCCAUUAUGCCACUGGGGCCAGCGCCCCGGGAAGGCGGCACGGCGGAAGGACCCGCGAGCCAGGAGACCUGCCGUCAGCCGUGGUUGCAC